rnacentral:rRNA from 1 species
AUUGAACGCUGGCGGCAUGCCUUACACAUGCAAGUCGAACGGUAGAGGGGGCAACCCCUCGAGAGUGGCGAACGGGUGAGUAAAGCAUCGGAACGUGCCCAGUAGUGGGGGAUAGCCCGGCGAAAGCCGGAUUAAUACCGCAUGAGACCUACGGGUGAAAGGGGGGGAUCGCAAGACCUCUCGCUAUUGGAGCGGCCGAUGUCAGAUUAGGUAGUUGGUGGGGUAAAGGCCUACCAAGCCGACGAUCUGUAGCUGGUCUGAGAGGACGACCAGCCACACUGGGACUGAGACACGGCCCAGACUCCUACGGGAGGCAGCAGUGGGGAAUUUUGGACAAUGGGCGCAAGCCUGAUCCAGCCAUGCCGCGUGCGGGAAGAAGGCCUUCGGGUUGUAAAGCUCUUUCGGCCGGGAAGAAAUCGCGUGAGUUAAUACCUUGCGUGGAUGACGGUACCGGAAUAAGAAGCACCGGCUAACUACGUGCCAGCCGCCGCCGUAAAAC